GAUGAACGCUGACAGAAUGCUUAACACAUGCAAGUCAACUGUGGCGGACGGGUGAGUAACGCGUAAAGAACUUGCCUCACAGGUAGGGAGAACAUAUGGAAACGAAUGCUAAUACAUAAUCCUGUGAGAGAGCUUUGCGUCCCAUUAGCUAGUUGGAGAGGUAACGGCUCACCAAGGCGAUGAUGGGUAGCCGGCCUGAGAGGGUGAUCGGCCACAAGCGCACUGGGACACGGCCAUUACUCCUACUGGAGGAAUCAGUGGGGACUAUUUGCCGACGGACCAAAGUAUGAAGCAGCAAUUCUGUGUGCACGAUGCAGUUUUCGGAAUGUAAGGUGCUUUCAGUUUGGAAGCGUUACCAACAGAAGAAGUGACGGCUAACUACGUGCCAGCAGCCGCGGUAAUUC
rnacentral:rRNA from 1 species